rnacentral:rRNA from 1 species
GACGAACGCUGGCGGCGUGCUUAACACAUGCAAGUCGAACGGAAAGGCCCUGCUUUUGUGGGGUGCUCGAGUGGCGAACGGGUGAGUAACACGUGAGUAACCUGCCCUUGACUUUGGGAUAACUUCAGGAAACUGGGGCUAAUACCGGAUAGGAGCUCCUGCUGCAUGGUGGGGGUUGGUAAGUUUCGGCGGUUGGGGAUGGACUCGCGGCUUAUCAGCUUGUUGGUGGGGUAGUGGCUUACCAAGGCUUUGACGGGUAGCCGGCCUGAGAGGGUGACCGGACACAUUGGGACGGAGAUACGGCCCAGAAUACAACGGGAGGCAGCAGUGGGGAAUAUUGCAAAAUGGGAGGAAGCAUGAUGCAGCAAAGCCGCGUGCGGGAUGACGGCCUUCGGGUUGUAAACCGCUUUCGCAUGUGAAGAAGAGUGAGUGACGGUAAUGGGUAAAGAAGCACCGGCUAACUACGUG